CCUUCACAUCAUUGGAGUAUAUAAAAGGAUUUAAAGUUUAGGGGGAAAUAACAAACAGUGGGGGGCAGUAAUACGCCAUAGCUGUGUCAAGGCUGCCUAAAUAAAAGAAGAAGAAGUUACGCCUCCAGAUAUAGGAAGUUCUCUGUUUGCAGACGAUGGGGCUUUGUGGAAAAGGGGAAGAAAUGUGAUGCAUAUUAUUAGUAAAGUCCAGUCUGCAAUUGAUGGGGUGACAGAGGAUUUGACUGGGGGUGCAGUUUUUCAGUCGAGAAAACUCAAACUGUAUUUUUCACUAUAGGAAAAGAAUUGAGGAUGGGAUGAAAUUGAGGAUGUAUGGGAAAGAGUUGGAGAGAGUUGGCUAAUUUAAAUAUUUGGGAGUUAUUUUUGAUUAUAGGGUAACAUGGGCAGACCAUAUUAGGAAGAUAGAGGAUAAAUGCAAAAAGGUAAUAAAUGUGAUGAGAUGUUUGACUGGUAGGGAUUGGGGAGCGAGCUGUUCAGCUUUAAAGACUAUAUAUGUAGCUAUGAUUAGAUCUGUGUUUGAUUAUGGGUGUAUAGUGUUUGGGUCAGCCGCAGUGUCUCUCUUGAGAAAGCAGGACGUGAUUCAGGCCAAGGCAUUAAGGGUAUGCAGUGGGGCUUUUAAAUCAUCACCAGUGCCUGCUCUGCAGGUAGAAAUGGGGGAAAUUCCGCUGGAGUUGAGGAGGAAACAAUUGAUGGGGAACUAUUGGGCUAAUCUGCGAGGGCAGAGUGAGUCUCACCCCACAGAAGGAGUGUUGAAAGAGUGCUGGGUUUAUGGGAAGUGUGAGAGGAAUCAUUUUGGUCGGAAUGAUAUAGCGAAAGAGUUUGGUGUGGGUGAAUUGAAGCUUAGUCCAACAGUGGUAUAUCCAUUAAUGCCGCCAUGGAGGAUGGUGUGGCCAGAGGUGGACUGGUUUGUGUUGGAUAUAAAGAAGAGAGAGAGAGAACACAUAGACCUGGCUAGUGUUUUUAAUAUUCAUCUUCUUAUAGAGCACAGUGAGUAUGUUCAUGUUUUUACAGAUGGUGCCAAACAACCUGAGACAGGAGUGACAGGGUUUGGAGUAGUUGUUCCAUCAAAAAGAAUUGAAUUUAAUGGAAGAAAAUCGGAUAAUUUGAGCGUUUAUACAGUGGAGAUGUUGGGGGUGCUGGUCGCAUUAAAAUGGGUGGAAUCAAGUACAGUGGAAACAAUUGUGAUCUUCACAGAUUCAGCAUCUGUUUUGGCAAGUAUGAGGUUGUUUUAUUCAAGUAGUCGCCAAGGUUUGUUAUAUGAAGUUCUACAGUCAAUUACGAGAAUCGUUCAGCAGGGGAGGCAAAUACAUUUUUUAUGGGUUCCAGCUCAUGUAGGGGUGAAGGGAAAUGAGAAAGCCGAUAAGAUGGCGAAGAAGGCAUUGGAGAAGGAAAAAGUAUAAAUGAUUAUCAGUUUAAGUAAGGCAGUAGUUAAAAGCCUGAUAUGGGAAAAAGUUAACAAAAUGUGGCAAGACAAAUGGGACAGUGAGGAGAAAGGGAGAUAUUUAUAUAAUAUUCAAUAAAGUGUUAAUGUUAAAAUAAGGUAUAGUGGUCAGAGGAAGGAUGAACACAUUUUGAUAAGGUUAAGGUUGGGGCACAGUGCACUAAAUAAAACAAUGAAUUUGAUAGGAAAACACCCCACCGGAUUAUGUGAGGGGUGCCAGGUAGAGGAGACAGUGGAACAUGUUUUAAUGAACUGUAGUGGUUAUGGGAUGGAGAGGGAAAGUAUGAAAAAUCAAUUGAGAGAAUUGGGUAUGCAGGAGUUUACUUUGGAAAAUAUUUUAAGAUUAAUGAAGAGGAAUUGUAUAUAAGUAUUGUUUGGCUUUUUGAGAGAAACAGGGUUAUAUGAUAGGAUAUAGAGUAGAAAGAAGGUGUGAAUGAGUGAGUGUUUGGAUAUUUUUUUUUUGUUUUGAUUCAUUAACUAGAUCAGAAGAGGGCGGUAAUGCACCAAGUUGUGAAUGCCAACCGCCGUAAAACCCCAAGAAGAAGAAGCGAAGGAUGGGUGGUAUCAGGAGGGAAUAUGCCCUACCAGCAAUUAGGUAUAAUGGUGAAAUCAUGGUGACAAACAAAGACAAGGCAGAAGCUUUGGCUAAAUCAUUCGCUAAAAUACAUAGCUCUGCUAAUCUGACCCAGGAGGCAAGAGCAGGUAGGGAUGAAGUGAUUAGGGUACAUCCCAACACAGUAAGGAAAAAGAAUGACACCGCAGAGGCAUCAAAUGUUUGUUUUUCCUUGUUUGAGUUGAAACGAGCUUUAGCAGGUGUUAGAAAUACAUCCCCUGGUAAGGAUGAGAUAUGUUAUAAAAUGGUGGUCAAUUUAACUCCUCAAGCACAGAUGGUGAUCCUGCAGCUUUUCAAUAGGGUUUGGGAAUCAGGGACACUACCAUUGGCAUGGAAACACUCUGUGGUUAUCCCAAUUGGGAAACCAGGAAAAGAUAAGAGUGAAGUGACUAGCUAUAGGCCAAUAGCCCUGACCUCUAAAAUGUGUAAGGUAAUGGAGCAUAUGGUUACGGAUAGAUUAACCUACAUAGUAGAAAGCAGGAGCAUGAUUAGUCCAAGUCAGAGUGGUUUCCGUAGAGGGAGGACGACCAUGGACCCUGUGCUGUGUUUGGAGAAUAUAGUUAGAAAGGCCCAGGCAAAUAAGGAGAUGGUAGACGCCAUCCUUUUUGAUGUUGAAAAGGCGUAUGACAUGUUGUGGCGGGAUGGUCUCCUUAUUAAGCUUGAAAGCAUGGGAAUAGGUGGGAGGAUGUUUAAUUGGGUAUUGGAUUUCCUUAAGGAUAGAACUAUGGAAGUGAGGGUGGGGGCAACCCAUUCUAGGGUCUAUCCUACAGAGAAUGGAGUUCCACAAGUGUGUGCAGUCCAUUACUCUUUAGUGUUAUGAUUAAUGACAUUUUCUCAGAGGUUGAUGCUAGUCUUGGAAGGUCUCUGUAUGCAGAUGAUGGGGCGUUGUGGGUUAAAGGCCGUAAUGGUACGUUUGCUGAAAAGAAGCUACAGGCAGCUGUAAGCACAGUAGAGAAAUGGGGUAAUAAGUGGGGCUUCCGUUUCUCAGUUGAGAAGACUCAAGUGAUAUGCUUUUCCAGGAAGAGGGAAAAUCCAAUCUUACGAAUCGUACUCUAUGGACAAAUGGUAAAGCAAGUACAAGUUAUUCGGUUUCUGGGAGUCUGGAUGGAUAGUAAGCUGACCUUUGGAGAGCAUAUCCAGAGAGGAGUGAUGCAACCUAAUGAGGUGCUUAGCUGGAAGUAGCUGGGGCGCCAGUAUGAAAUCUCUUAAGCAAAUGUACAUUGCCAUAAUUAGAUCUGCAUUAGACUAUGCGUGUAUUGCAUAUGGUUCAGCUGCAAAGUCACAUCUUACCAAAUGUGAUGUAAUACAGGCACAGGCCAUCCGGCUGUGUUGUGGGGCAUUCAAGACUUCAUCAGUUGCAGCUCUACAGGUGGAGGUUGGAGAGUUACCAUUAUAUUUGAGGCGUAGGCAGUUGUCCAUGGUAUACUGGACUAAUUUGCAAGGGCACAAACAAGAUCAUCCAACCAAAUCAGUUCUAGAGCCAUGCUGGGAGCAUGGGCGCACAAAGCUAAAUAGUUUUGGAUGGGUAGGAGAUAGCACUGCCAGGGAGUUAGGGAUAUCCAAUUUAACACAUAGCUGUACAGUACCACUACCAGCAACUCCCCCGUGGCUUUUCCCCAUGCCUACUGUAGAUCUUGAAAUUAUUAAGAAAUCAAAACAAUGUAAUGAAUUUGGAGGGAUGAAUAGUUAGAUACAACAGUAUAUAUGUGAUAAGUAUAACGGGUCAAUUCAAAUUUUUACAGACGGGUCAAAAGAUCCAGACACAGGUAGGACAGGGGCUGCAGUACACAUACCACAGUUUAAUGUAUCAAUUAUCAAAAGAACGUCAGAUCAUUUAGCAGUAUUCACAGUGGAGCUGUUAGCCAUUUUAUUGGCUCUCUGGUGGAUAGAAGAGGGAAGGUCAAGUAGAUGCAUCAUUUGCUCAGACUCAAUGGCAGCUCUAGUCAGCAUUUCAAAUGGCAAAUCUACCUGUAGGCCUGAUCUAGUUUAUGAGGUUCUUCAGAGUUUGUUUAAAAUAGAAAGGAUGCAAAUAACGGUGGGCUUUUUAUGGGUCCCAUCCCAUGCUGAAGUAGAAGGCAAUGAGGUUGUCGACAUGUUGGCAAAAAAGGCACUGAAACAGGAUAUACAGCUGGGUGUUCCAUUAAGUAAAUCUGAAGUUAAAACAAUAAUUAAAUCUGAAAUCAACAAGGUGUGGCAAGAACAAUGGGAUAGGGAAAAUAAGGGUCGGUUCCUGCAUAGAAUCCAGAGGCAGGUGGUAACAAGGAGACAGGGCUGCUGGAACCGAAGAUGUGAGGUUAUCAUCACAAGACUACGCAUAGGGCACACAUGUCUUAACCACAGUCUGAACAUCAUAGGCAAACAUGAAACAGGGGUCUGCCCAAAAUGUAAUGGAAGAGAAACAGUGGAGCAUGUUUUACCACAAUGUGAAGCGUACAAUUUGGAGAGAAGGGAGCUGUUGAAAAAUGUUAAAGCUUUGCGUCAAACAAGCUUGACCUUAGAGGGUUUACUCUCCUUUUCCUCACUGAGACCACCAGCAUGGAAACAUGUAUUGAGUUAUCUAAAAGCAACAGGUUUAUUUGACAGAUUAUAAUUUAAUCUGUGGUUUUUUAUCUAUAUGAUUUUGUUUAUUUACUUUUGUUUGUUGUUGUUUUUGCAUAGUUUAUAACGUAUAACCUCCAUCGAAGCUCUAAAACAAACAGUAGGUGGCGGUAAUGCCCCAUUUUGGUUUGCCAACCGCCAAAUAAACUCAAAAGAAGAAGAAGAAGAAGAAGAAGUAGAAGAAGAAGAAGAAGAAGAAGAAGAACGAAUCAUCGCAGUUGCUCAGUGUUUGGAUGUACAAAACCUCGAAAAACAGGCCAGCUCAUCAAGUGCUUACAUUCAGCAGCUUCUCUCAGGGAUGUUGCCUGCCAGACGGAGCACCUGGAAACGCAUACUGUAGGCACACAGCUAUCCUUAAAGUCUUUGCAGCCCCAUUUUAAAAAUGAAGGUGUUUACUUGAAUCCACAAAAAAAAAUACACAGGCAAGACAUUGAAAUUGCAGGGCGUGCCAAGCCGCGACCGAACCAGCUUGGCAGUGUAAAAACGCCUAAUCUGUCAGUAGUGGGGAUUGACAACUAUUCUGUGAAAAUGAAAGAAUGUCUUGUGUUUGUUUCCUUCUUUAUGUGUAAAGCAGCAGACCCCAGACACCAUUUCAAUCAAGGUUGAAGAGGAUAUUGGUGGAGGCAUGCCCGGCACAGAAGACUGCGAUGCCUUUGGACACCGUAGCACUCAGCGUGGCGCCACCUCAGAGAUUCUGGCGGUGGUCGCCCCUGGCUCCUCCCACAUGUCCAGUCACAGCGAGGAACUGGUGGUUAGCAGAAUAAAGAAUAUUUUGGCAUUUUUGCACUUGUAAAUAGUUAAUCGCGUUUUAAACUACACUCGGAUGUGAACUCAUUCUCGCAUGCGAGGGUCUCGAAUCCACAAAAAACAAAUACACAGGCAAGACAUUGAAAUUGCAGGGCGUGCCAAGCCGCGACCGAACCAGCUUGGCAGUGUAAAAACGCCUAAUCUGUCAGUAGUGGGGAUUGACAACUAUUCUGUGAAAAUGAAAGAAUAUGUCUUGUGUUUGUUUCCUUCUUUAUGUGGAAAGCAGCAGACCCCAGACACCAUUUCAAUCAAGGUUGAAGAGGAUAUUGGUGGAGGCAUGCCCGCCGUAGACUGCGAUGCCUUUGGACACCGUAGCACUCAGCGCGGCGCCACCUCAGAGAGUCUGGGUGUGGACGGCCCUUGCUCCUCCCACCUGUCCAUCUACAGCGAGGAACUGAAGAUUCUGAGCGUCUACGGAAAAGGGGAGGGCCCACUGGCGGUGGACGGCCAUGACACCCUCUUCACAGCGUCAGAAGUGGAGGCCCUGAACUCGCUGUCUGCGGACCACAGCGCGGCCAAGAGCCUGGAGCGCGGCGAGCGGCUGGUAGGCCGCGAGGAGCUGAGUGUGCAGGUUGGAAAUCAUCUUCUCAUUCACCAUCAAAAGAGAGACUUCCUCUGUUACAACUCUAAAACAGACCCAUAGAAAGCCCACACCUUUAUGAUUCAGUAAACGUUUUUACACUCCCAAAUAUGUCCGCCUUAUGCCCAACUUUUCCCCUGUGUGAUCCGCGCGUUUACACUGACCGAGGUAAUCGACCGGCUUUAUUUCGCACCCCUAUUAGGCAAGGCAAGGCAACUUUAUUUAUAUAACAAUUUUCAUACACAGGGCAGACUCAAAGUGCUUCACAUAUAAACAUUGUCAUACAAUAAAAUGUAAUUAUGGAUAAGUAAAAGAAAACAUAUGCAAAGAAAUGAGUAAAAUAGAAAGUGCAAUGUAUUUAAGGUCAGGGGCCGUAUCCACAAAGGAUUUUAGGGUAUAAGUAGGUCCUAACUGGCGAAUUUAGGAGUUACUCCUAAAAAUAAUGGGUGUGUCACUCUUAAAUUUAGGACUCCUAACUUUUUUCACUAAGAGCAAUUCACAAAGUAUUUUAGGCCUAAAAGUAGCACCUAAGUCUAGACCUAUUAUUUGUGAAUAGGUCUUACUGAACUCAGUAAGACCUAUUCACAAAGAAUCGUAAAUGCCUGCGAGACGAAAUGUUAGGGUAUUAAACUUGUUGUGGAGUUAAUCGCGAUGCAAUAACAUCCCCGACUAACAGGAAUAAUCAGAUUAGUCCCGAAAUAAAAUGUUUGGCCACACUACGUUAUUUAGCAACAGGGGAAAUGCAACUUUGCAAUGCCGACGAUUUAAAAAUAUCGCAACCAUCAGUCAGCCGUGCCAUAAACUUUCCUUUGGACAUUCAACAAUUACACAGGAUCCAAGCCAACUUCAUGGCAAUUGCAGGUAUGCCCGGUGUGGUCGGUGCUAUUGACGGGACGCACAUAAAAAUAAUUGCGCCAUCAAAAGACGAGGACUUGUUCGUCAAUAGGAAGAAAGUGCAUUCCAUCAACACGCAGGUUGUUUUUGAUUCAAAUUUUAACAUAGCCUACUGGAUGUUGUUGCAAAGUGGCCUGGAUCUUCAGCUACCUAUGAUUCGCGCAUUUUAAUGGAGAGCGGUCUGAGGCAGCUUUUUGAGAUGUAGGCUACCAGUUUGGUGUCACUUGCUGGGAGACAGUGACUAUCCAUGCAAGACGUGGCUCUAGACACCCUACCUCAAUCCACAACCGGGAGCACAGUUAAAGUAUAACAUGUAAGUGAUUACGCAUAUUACGCUUAGUCCUAUGUGUAAAACGCAUCGUAUUGGCUCUUUGACGCCUUUUAUUUGGUGAAUCCAUAUUUAUUAUUGUUUACUGAUUUCUUCCAUAUAUGCUAGAGCACACAAACAUACACGAAAUGUUGUGGAGAGAGGAAUUGGGCAGAUGAAACGUCGGUUCAUGUCCUCCACGGCGAAAUACGCCUCACCCCAGAGAGGGCAAGCACAGUCAUUACUGUAUGUGCCAUUCGACACAACCUCUGCAAGCGGAGGAACAUUCCACAGCAUUGAUGAUGAUGAU